rnacentral:lncRNA from 1 species
AUCAAAUAAUCGAUGAUCCUGACUUCGGACAGACACAUGCAUAUGCUUGGUUUGGAAUGUUAAAAUGUACUGUUAUCUUAUUUAUUUGUGCGUUUCACUGUUUGUACUGGGUGUUCUUGCGUUUGUUUGUACUGUAAUCCUUAAAGUAUCCUGUACCCUGUAAGGUAUAUGACAGUUGUUAUCUAAAUAAACUCAUCAUAGAUACCAG